CACAAUUAUGACUCAAGAUUCUUUCUUAAGACCAUUUCUAGCUCUACUUAGACCCACUAUGCACCUCUUUGAAAAUUUGUGUUUACACUUCUUUUUUGCAUAUUAGUAAAGAAAGCAAUGUAACAGACCACCCUUUAGGCAAAAAAUAUAUUAUAAUUGCCUACAAAAAAAGGAGCCAGUCAGAGCACCCAGAAGAACUGUGGCAGAUUCCCCCAGAUGCUCAUUAAAAGAUUUGACACACCAAUGAGUAAAACAUCUUUUUAUAAACACUGCCAAAGAAGCAUGUUUUGGUAUGCACAAACUAAUGUACACGUUGUGAAUUGUUCGUUUUUAGGCCAUUUAUCCAUCUAAAAAGAAAACAUUGUUUUUGGAUCCCCUGGGAGAGUCCCAAAAAAAAGUAAACAAGUGCCUGGAAACCACAAGAGCCUUUAUGAGGAAUAGAGGAUGCAAAGUUUCAAGGUGGACGUGUGACACUGUUCCUCACCCAAUGCAACGUGAUGGCACAUCUUGUGGUGUUUUUGUAUGCAAGUUUGCAGAACAAAUCCUGACAGAACAGCCUAUCAGCUUCUCAAAUGCAGAAAAGGCAGUUAACCUCUUUAGGAAAAAAAUUGCAGUGACCUUAAUACAGGAAUCAGAAGAUUUGAGUGAUCUUUGUCGAUUCUGUGGGGAAGACAUCAACCUAAGUGAUCCAGGGCUGACACCUGCAUGGAUUGCCUGUGAUGGAUGUGACAGAUGGUACCACCAGUCAUGUGUUGGCAACCCACCAGUAGAUGAAGAUUUUUACUGUCCUGCAUGCACUGAAGAUUAGACCAAGUAACUGCUUUAUCCUGGUCAUGGCCGUGGUGGAUUCAGAACUGUUCCUGGGGAAAUUGGACGUACGGCAGGAGUGCACUGUGGAUGGGAUGCUAGUCAUUCCCAGGGCACCAUCCACAAAUAAAUUUGCACAUUUCAGAUUUUAUUUAAUUUAGAUUUUAAAGAAUUAUUUUUAUUGAGUUAUAAAUAUGUUAUUUUUUCAAGUAUUUCAGUUUUACUUUGCAGUGAG